UACGGAGGGAGCUAGCGUUGUUCGGAAUUACUGGGCGUAAAGCGCACGUAGGCGGCUUUUUAAGCCAGGGGUGAAAUCCCGGGGCUCAACCCCGGAACUGCCCUUGAAACUGGAGAGCUAGAAUCUUGGAGAGGCGAGUGGAAUUCCGAGUGUAGAGGUGAAAUUCGUAGAUAUUCGGAAGGACACCAGUGGCGAAGGCGACUCGCUGGACAAGUAUUGACGCUGAGGUGCGAAAGCGUGGGGAGCAAACAGG
rnacentral:rRNA from 1 species